rnacentral:rRNA from 1 species
CGCGCAUGGCCGUAGUAGCCAACGCGAUAAACGGCUUCCCAUGCGAGUAUGUCCACAGGAUUGAACUCAAAGGACAUUCGGGGAGCCACCGCGAGCGGUCGAGCAUUCAGUUUUAAGUCGAAGCAACGGGAAGAUCCUUACCAGGUCUUAACAUCCUCUGACAAUCCUACAGAUAGGACGUCACCUUUGGGGGCAGAGUGACAGGUGGUGCAUGGUUGUCGUCAGCUCGUGUCGUGAGAUGUUGGGUUAAGUCCCGCAACGAGCGCAACCCUUGAUCUUAGUUGCCAGCAUUCAGUUGGGCACUCUAAGGUGACUGCCGGUGACAAACCGGAGGAAGGUGGGGAUGACGUCAAAUCAUCAUGCCCCUUAUGACCUGGGCUACACACGUGCUACAAUGGACAGAACAAAGGGCAGCGAAACCGCGAGGUUAAGCCAAUCCCACAAAUCUGUUCUCAGUUCGGAUCGCAGUCUGCAACUCGACUGCGUGAAGCUGGAAUCGCUAGUAAUCGCGGAUCAGCAUGCCGCGGUGAAUACGUUCCCGGGCCUUGUACACACCGCCCGUCACACCACGAGAGUUUGUAACACCCGAAGUCGGUGAGGUAACCUUUAUGGAGCCAGCCGCCGAAGGUGGGACAGAUGAUUGGGGUGAAGUCGUAACAAGUAGCCUAAGGU